rfam:Microbial mat metagenome hsmat10_BHWZ5594_b1, whole genome shotgun sequence.
CAGUGUGGGCAGAGAUGCUCACGUAUGGGCCGGCAGAAGUCAGCCGAGGCCAUAGUAGUCCCGUUGCACCGGGACGAAGGGC